UACGAAGGGGGCUAGCGUUGCUCGGAAUUACUGGGCGUAAAGCGCGCGUAGGCGGCUUUGUAAGUCAGAGGUGAAAUCCCGGGGCUCAACUCCGGAACUGCCUUUGAAACUGCAUCGCUUGAAUCCGGGAGAGGUGAGUGGAAUUCCGAGUGUAGAGGUGAAAUUCGUAGAUAUUCGGAAGAACACCAGUGGCGAAGGCGGCUCACUGGACCGGUAUUGACGCUGAGGUGCGAAAGCGUGGGGAGCAAACAGG
rnacentral:rRNA from 1 species